GCCCCUUUCCAGUUGCGAAUAUAUCCACUCCCACCUUUGAGGCGUGAAAGCUGAAAUGAGCCCAGCCAGGAGGAAGUGCUGCCUGGAGACAAGGCCCACCUUGAAGAGAACAACCACCAAGUUUCCAACUUCUCAAAUUUCAUCUGCUUUCUAAACUUGUAAACUUAGUAGCUGCUUAUCUUAAAGAUACCAAUAACUAGCUCACUGACUUGUAUACAGAUGACCUUACCGGGGUUUCGGUGUUUUCACAGCACAUUUGGACUUGGGGUCUGAGAGGAAUUGUACAUUAUUGGCUAUUGGUAAUUGCUGUGGAUUUUUUAAGAGAAUGUAUGUUUUUCUAUUUCUGCAAGAAAUUCCAAAAAACCUGCUAGAAGGUAACCUAAAACCAACAAACAAAAAGAAAUUCCAAACUAUAGAAAAAGAAGAAAGGAAAAGGAUGACUUAGUUCUGUUAGCCAAGUGACAGGUGCUGAUGCGUUGGCGGUCUCUUAAGCCUUCUCUUGAAACCUCUUUAAGCACACCCGAGGGUGCACACAUCUUUUCUAUAAAACUGGUUUUGAUCCUGAUCCCUUAAUUCCUAUGGUUAACAUUUCUUUAUGGCAUUCAUCUUCAAAAUAGGCUAUUUCAUGGUGAUAGUUUAUGCAGCCUUUCACUUCUGUUGAACACAGUUUGUUUCUGUGUACGAUGAUGUAAUGUACAUCCAUGUUCAUAUUUUUCUUGCAUCUUUCCUUUUUUUCUAUAUUUCUAAAAGUAGAGCAACUGGUGGAAAGCCAAAUUGUUUUCUAACAGGAUUUGACCAAUUUGCCCUCUUAAUAGUGGUUUAUGUGCUUAAGCCACUCAUUGUCAACUUUGAGUACACAAAUUGUUUUUCUAAGUAGAAAGGUUAAAAACACUAGUUUCAAUGUGAAUUUAUUUGUAAUAGGGCUUAUAAUAUUUUUUCAGAUUUUCAUUUGUCUCUUAAUUUAGUUCAGUUAUCUUAAAACCGAUACUGUUCAUUAAACUGAGCUUUUGUAAUGUUCUUAAAAAAUCUCAGCACCAUCUAAAUCUCCAUGAGCAUUUUAGCUUUCUUGUGUCAUUUCUAACAAUAAAGGCACCUGGAACUUC